UGGGGAAUUUUGGACAAUGGGCGAAAGCCUGAUCCAGCCAUGCCGCGUGUGGGAAGAAGGCCUUCGGGUUGUAAACCACUUUUGUCAGGGAAGAAACGGCCUGAUCUAAUACAUUGGGUUAAUGACGGUACCUGAAGAAUAAGCACCGGCUAACUACGUGCCAGCAGCCGCGGUAAUACGUAGGGUGCAAGCGUUAAUCGGAAUUACUGGGCGUAAAGCGUGCGCAGGCGGUUAUGCAAGACAGAUGUGAAAUCCCCGGGCUCAACCUGGGAACUGCAUUUGUGACUGUAUAGCUAGAGUACGGUAGAGGGGGAUGGAAUUCCGCGUGUAGCAGUGAAAUGCGUAGAUAUGCGGAGGAACACCGAUGGCGAAGGCAAUCCCCUGGACCUGUACUGACGCUCAUGCACGAAAGCGUGGGGAGCAAACAGGAUUAGAUACCCCCGUAGUCCCUGAGCGGGCUGGCAAGGCGCAU
rnacentral:rRNA from 1 species